UUUAUUGCAAAAAUUUCAAAAAAAUAUAUAUUUAAAAGGUGGAAGUUGAAGUCGGUUAUAUCAUUUCAAAAAGAAAAUAUAACUACUCUUUGAAAUUAACACACAAAAACAAAAUAAAGGAAAAUCUAAGAACCCAAAAUAUAUAGAACAAAUUGGUUAAACAUAUUACAUUUUUUUUAUAAUGUUUUUGUGUGUUUUCAAUUCCAUGGCACAUAUGUUCCGUUAUCAAUUAUUUGAUAGGGCUGGAAUCAAGGCAUUUGGAUUACAUAGAUCAACAUAAUUUUGGAGUCUUGCUGAAAUUUAAUUUCCAUUUGAUG
rnacentral:lncRNA from 1 species